rnacentral:rRNA from 1 species
GGAAGUAAAAGUCGUAACAAGGCUUCCGUAGGUGAACCUGCGGAAGGAUCAUUAGUGAAGCUUGCUAAUCUGACGGCAAGUUGUGAGCUGCCGAGAUGUGUGUUUAGUAUUGUGAAUGGAUUUUGAACAGUCGAGGCUAGCCUCGCAAGUAUAUCGACAGGUAUUGUCGAUUGAUGGUGGACCAAUUAGCUGGUGGGUCGAUGAAGGACACAGCUAGCUGUGCGAAGGAAUGUGAAUUGCAGGACACAUGAGCAUCGACACUUUGAACGCAUAUUGCGGGUGAAUGGAUUCCAUUCACCCAGUCAUGGAUCAAGGCCGGUUAACAACUGGAAAGCUAGAAGGCUUCGUGUAUCUGACUGCUUGUCAUAGCGUUGCCGCUUAAUCGAGAAAGCUGUCUGGUUCCCGUCGAGUUAAGGCCAUUCAGUCCUGAGAGAAUCACGGCAGGCAUGAAUGGGUGACGGGAGAUAAAAGCCUGAUAGCGUGGUGAGCAGGGAUCUAAACGGAUACGACCCCUAUCCUGACACAUCCAUAUGAUCGCGGCUUGAUCUCAUGACAGACUACCCGCUGACUUUAAUCAUAUCAAUA